CACCCCCCAGUGUCACCGCGCUCAUUAUUGGCCGACACCCGGGACUCACCCCCAUCACGAGUUGCACCCAGGAGCCCCAGGGGGAGUUUUUCUGUUCACCUUCUCCCUUGUGUAUUUCUCCAGAACCGAAGGCAUGUGGGAGGACAGAGUUGUUUUGCAGGGCACUGGAAGUUUUGUGUCCCAGCCAAGACCUGCACUUCAAUUUUUAUUUACUUUUAUAUGUUGCUGGCGUGGGGCCGCAAGGUUUUCCAUCAACAGAAAUGGCUGCUGAUUGAGGCGAUUUGCUUUCUCCCCAGCACUGAAGAGAGCCCCAUUCUCCAAAGCAGGUGUUUUUAGAUCAAGAUGGGCCGUUGGAUGACACAGUGGGGAAUACACUUAGUAAAGCAAUGUCAUAAAUUGGGCUAGUGUCGGCUUCCUGAUUUAAUGCUUUGCUCUAUUUGGUCAUGAAUUAUAUAUUCUUUUUCAGAUUGAUCAUUUCUCUCACUGAUAAAGGGACAGUGUUCUACCCAGUGGGUUUGGCCCCUGACCCAAGAAAUAUACCAAUGCAUCAAAAUUCCCUGAGCUGACAACUUUGGGUGAACUCUGGAGACUGUAAAUCUGCAAAGGCAGAGAGUGGGCAGGCGGGCAGGCCUCUGUGCUGGAACUCUCCCCUCACUUAGUAUGCAUCGACUACCAUGAUGGUCGAGCAAUUCCUUGUCUGCUUUUUACCCAGUGUAAUUUGCAAAUUGAUUAUUCUUCCUUAGAAGUCUUUCUUAAUUAAAUAGUAACUGCAGUUAUUACCCUCAGACAAAGAGGACAUUUUAGUGUCUUGGCAGAGGACAGCCUUAGCUCAGUGGAUUUUCAUUUAUUGAGGUGUCUGCCAUGGACUAUUGUGCGCAGAACCCUGCCUGAUGGCUCCUUCUAGGGGAAUGAGAUAGUCCUCCUUGCCCACAAAGAGCUAGAAGCAGGUGAGUUAAUAAUAAGGCAUUAUAGCAAAAUAUGCAUAGAUGCCUUUGCUUUUGAAUGCACUCAUUUCAAACAUCAUCCUAUUCCAUUUUCAUACCAUGCAUGGCGAAUGACAGUAGUCUCCAUUUGUCAGAUGAGGAAAGUAAGGGAGAAAGAAUUUAGGGAUUUGCCCAAGCUCAUAGAGAAAAGUGAGAAGCAGGACUAGCAUAGAGAUGACCGGCUUCCUUGACUGCUCCUUAGGUUGAAUGAGGCCCAGAUGUGUUCAUCAAAUGCCACUGGGCCCUGUAGACAUGGGUAGAACUGCCGUGGGUGAACAGGCAUCUUCACUGGACACCAGCCUUCCAAUCAGGCCAGUGGUUCCGAAUCCUUGACAGCGUCAGGAAAAUCUGGG
rnacentral:lncRNA from 1 species